AGAGGACCGGGAUGGACGCACCUCUGGCGCACCAGUUGUCAUGCCAAUGGCAUAGCUGGGCAGCUAAGUGCGGAUCGGAUAAACGCUGAAAGCAUCUAAGCGUGAAGCCGACUCCAAGAUGAGAUAUCCCUCAGCGCAAGCUGGAAAGGCCCCUUGAAGACUACAAGGUUGAUAGGCUGCGUGUGUAAGCACGGCAACGUGUUCAGCUUGGCAGUACUAAUAGGCCGAGAGCUUGACCAAUUGUUCUU
rnacentral:rRNA from 1 species